rnacentral:rRNA from 1 species
GACGAACGCUGGCGGCGUGCUUAACACAUGCAAGUCGAACGGAAAGGCCCUGCUUUUGUGGGGUGCUCGAGUGGCGAACGGGUGAGUAACACGUGAGUAACCUGCCCUUGACUUUGGGAUAACUUCAGGAAACUGGGGCUAAUACAGGAUAGGAGAUCCUGCUGCAGGGUGGGGGUUGGAAAGUUUCGGCGGUUGGGGAUGGAUUCGCGGCUUAUCAGCUUGUUGGUGGGGGAGGGGUUUACCAAGGCUUUGACGGGUAGCCGGCCUGAGAGGGUGACCGGCCACAUUGGGACUGAGAUACGGCCCAGACUCCUACGGGGGGCAGCAGUGGGGAAUAUUGCACAAUGGGCGGAAGCCUGAUGCAGCAACGCCGCGUGCGGGAUGACGGCCUUCGGGUUGUAAACCGCUUUCGCCUGUGACGAAGCGUGAGUGACGGUAAUGGGUAAAGAAGCACCGGCUAACUACGUG